rnacentral:rRNA from 1 species
GACGAACGCUGGCGGCGUGCUUAACGCAUGCAAGUCGAACGAUGACGACCGAGCUUGCUCGGUCUGAUUAGUGGCGAACGGGUGAGUAACACGUGAGCAACCUGCCCUUCACUCUGGGAUAACCUCGGGAAAUCGGGGCUAAUACCGGAUAUGAGCUCCUGUCGCAUGGCGGGUGUUGGAAAGUUUUUCGGUGAAGGAUGGGCUCGCGGCCUAUCAGUUUGUUGGUGAGGUAGUGGCUCACCAAGGCGAUGACGGGUAGCCGGCCUGAGAGGGCGACCGGCCACACUGGGACUGAGACACGGCCCAGACUCCUACGGGAGGCAGCAGUGGGGAAUAUUGCACAAUGGGCGAAAGCCUGAUGCAGCGACGCCGCGUGAGGGAUGACGGCCUUCGGGUUGUAAACCUCUUUCAGCAGGGAAGAAGCGAAAGUGACGGUACCUGCAGAAGAAGCGCCGGCUAACUACGUG